AUUGAACGCUGGCGGCAGGCCUAACACAUGCAAGUCGAACGGUAACAGGAAGCAGCUUGCUGCUUUGCUGACGAGUGGCGGACGGGUGAGUAAUGUCUGGGAAACUGCCUGAUGGAGGGGGAUAACUACUGGAAACGGUAGCUAAUACCGCAUAACGUCGCAAGACCAAAGAGGGGGACCUUAGGGCCUCUUGCCAUCGGAUGCGCCCAGAUGGGAUUAGCUAGUAGGUGGGGUAACGGCUCACCUAGGCGACGAUCCCUAGCUGGUCUGAGAGGAUGACCAGCCACACUGGAACUGAGACACGGUCCAGACUCCUACGGGAGGCAGCAGUGGGGAAUAUUGCACAAUGGGCGCAAGCCUGAUGUAGCCAUGCCGCGUGUAUGAAGAAGGCCUUCGGGUUGUAAAGUACUUUCAGCGGGGAGGAAGGGAGUAAAGUUAAUACCUUUGCUCAUUGACGUUACCCGCAGAAGAAGCACCGGCUAACUCCGUG
rnacentral:rRNA from 1 species